GCAGGACUUCAGGAGCAUGAAGCUGCCUGUCUGCUGGACUGGAGAGCACCAGCUGUGAACUGUAAGACUCUCAAGCUGUUAGGAUGUCUGAACACAAGGAAGGCUCA